AGGUAAAAGAUACUUCUUAUUAGUGCAAAUCAUUAAGAAAAAAUGAAAAUCACUCGUUCUGCUUCUCCCUCGCUAGGCGCUCUCUCUGAAGCGAAUUAGUUCCCCCAAAUCCCUGCCUUAGGUAUUUUCAGUCCUCAAUUUCCUUCAAUUCGUGUUUGUAAGUAUAAUUAGGGUUCCGUGCUAAGAAUCGAGUGCGGGGGGCCAUUUAGAGCAAACAUUUGUGCUAAGCAGCUGGUGGAGACAGUAACAAUGAGGUCGAUAAAGGAUAGGCUUAGCAAUGACGCUUUUUACAAAUUGCCUGAGGUAACAAAGAGGUCGAUAUGAUGAUUUCACUCGUCACUCGCCGGAGACAAAUUACUGGCAAGAGAUAAUGCUUAAUUAUACAGCAAAGCUGGAGUACCUUUGGUAGUGGGAACAACUGGUGGAGAUACAGAGAAGUUGUACUAAACUAUGUCAGAGUCAAAAGUUUAUGUUGUGAUCUCCCCGUAAAUGGGAAAGCAGGGAUGAAAUUCUUGGUAGAAGAAUUCCCUGGAGCUCUCUUUGGGUACAGGUUACAAGAAUUCCACCUAUUUUUCCACAACUCAGAUACAUAAUAGCCUAAAUCUUUCAGCUACUCACAAGUCUUAAAGCUCAGAUAUGGAGAAGCCACUGAAGAAAGAAAUAUAUUUGUGUAAUAUUUUCAAUACAAUUUUCCAUUCAUAUAUUGUAUGACUGAGCAAUUGUCUUUCUCUUAUUUCAUAUCCAGAGCUAUGAUUAUAAGUUUCUGAAAACAUAUCAGAAUCAGAACCAAGACCCCUGUAACUCGGAGAAGAUCUUGAUCAGUUGAAGGUUCUUGAGAAUGGAUACACGGUGAAGUGGCAUACACCUUCAAAUGGCGAGCUUGUUCAAGGAAUGACACACUGAUCCAGAAAGCUGUCACAUUUUGCAUUAGGGAACAUACACUGACU